rnacentral:rRNA from 1 species
AACGCGAAGAACCUUACCUGGGUUGAACUUUGCAGGAAAAGCCGUAGAGAUACGGUGUCCUUCGGGGCCUGUGAUAGGUGGUGCAUGGCUGUCGUCAGCUCGUGUCGUGAGAUGUUGGGUUAAGUCCCGCAACGAGCGCAACCCCCGUCGCAUGUUGCCAGCAUUUAGUUGGGGACUCAUGCGAGACUGCCGGUGACAAACCGGAGGAAGGUGGGGAUGACGUCAAGUCCUCAUGCCCCUUAUGUCCAGGGCUACACACGUGCUACAUUGGCGUAUACAGAGGGCUGCGAUACCGCGAGGUGGAGCGAAUCCCUUAAAGUACGUCUCGGUUCGGAUUGCAGGCUGAAACUCGCCUGCAUGAAGGUGGAGUUGCUAGUAAUCGCGGAUCAGCAUUGCCGCGGUGAAUACGUUCCCGGGCCUUGUACACACCGCUGUA